AACGAACGCUGGCGGCGUGCCUAACACAUGCAAGUCGAGCGAGAAAGCCCGCAAGGGUGAGUAAAGCGGCGCACGGGUGCGUAACACGUGGAUAAUCUGCCCUGAAGUCCGGAAUAACUCGCCGAAAGGCGUGCUAAUGCCGGAUGAGACCACGGGAGCUCCGGCUCCUGCGGGAAAAGGUGGCCUCUGUACACAAGCUAUCGCUACAGGAUGAGUCCGCGGCCCAUCAGCUCGUUGGCGGGGUAAUGGCCCACCAAGGCUACGACGGGUAGCUGGUCUGAGAGGACGAUCAGCCACACUGGAACUGGGACACGGUCCAGACUCCUACGGGAGGCAGCAGUGGGGAAUCUUGCGCAAUGGGCGAAAGCCUGACGCAGCAACGCCGUGUGUGUGAUGAAGGUCUUCGGAUCGUAAAGCACUGUCGCGAGGGACGAAUAAGGGGCGGGCUAACAUCCCGUUCCGAUGACGGUACCUCGAGAGGAAGCACCGGCUAACUCUGUGCCAGCAGCCGCAGUAAUAC
rnacentral:rRNA from 1 species